rnacentral:rRNA from 1 species
UACGUAGGUGGCAAGCGUUGUCCGGAUUUACUGGGCGUAAAGAGCGCGCAGGCGGCUGGUCAAGUCCGAUGUGAAAUCUCCCGGCUCAACUGGGAAACUGCAUCGGAAACUGAUCGGCUUGAAGAUGGGAGAGGGUAGUGGAAUUCCCGGUGUAGUGGUGAAAUGCGUAGAUAUCGGGAGGAACACCAGUGGCGAAGGCGACUACCUGGCCCAUUCUUGACGCUGAGGCGCGAAAGCUAGGGGAGCGAACGGG